rnacentral:rRNA from 1 species
GGUUGCGAUCAUACCAGCACUAAUGCACCGGAUCUAUUCAGAACUCCGCAGUUAAGCGUGCUUAGGCGAGAGUAGUACUAGGAUGGGUGACCCCCUGGGAAGUCCUCGUGUUGCAACCCC